AACUCUGUGGUGUAGUGGUAGUACGCGUCCCCGAUAUGGACGAAACGCGGGUUCGACUUUCGCCUGAGGUG